AAAAAUCACAGCGCUUUCUCAAACUGGGAGACAAGUGUUGAUGUCAUCGCCGGCCCGGAAUGAUGUCAUGGUUACCCAGAAUGAUGUCCUGGUUACCCAGAAUGAUGUCCUGGUUACCCAGAAUGAUGUCAUGGUUACCCAGGCUGACGUGAUCACUACUCAGUAGGUGAUCAACACCCAGAAUGUCACCACUGCUCAGCCAGUACAGCCAGUUCCUGCUACUGUACUGCCCAGCCCAACACACUGCUACUCCCAGCCCAACACACUGCUACUGCCCAGCCCAGCCCAACACACUGCUACUGCCCAGCCCAACACACUGCUACUGCCCAGCCCAACACACUGCUACUGUACAGCAGCCCAACACACUGCUACUGCCCAGCCCAACACACUGCUACUGUACUGCCCAGCCCAACACACUGCUACUGUACUGCCAGCCCAACACACUGCUACUGCCCAGCCCAACACACUGCUACUGCCCAGCCCAACACACUGCU
ensembl:lncRNA